UGUCAUUUCAUUCCCUCUCACUCGAUAAUAUUUUUCAUCUAUUUCCAGUGGUACGCAAUACGACUUAUUUCGUUUAGUUCUUAUUGGAAUCUCAAAAUAUAAAAACUUCUUGCAAGAUGGGAUUCUCAACAACCACCCAGCAACCGAGCUAAAUUACUCCCAUUUACUUCAUCAGCUAGAACACGGUCCUGCACACUUACCCUGGUAAGUGUGCAGGAUGGGAGGAAAAGCAGAGCCCAAGACAGAAACCGAGAGAAAAAAAACAUUCAACAGAGCUUUCACUUUUGGGUAGACAAUUUGAUAUAAGAAGGAAACUAAUCCCUCUACAAGCACAGAAAAAGUGCUCUUGUACUGUCACAGCAGAACAGGAAGGCGACCCUGUUAUUUUAGUUUUCUUGAUGCUUUCUCCGCGGAGGAGGGAGACAAACGACGAGAAGCAUUAUUACGUCCUUCAUUGUGUUUGGAUGAGAUUCUGAAGUUGAACUCGAGUUUAAUUACUUUUCUUCUUUUCUUUGAUUUUUACUUUUAGUAGAAUAUUUUUUAGCCAAGUCUUGUCACUGGCUGCUUGUUUGAGUUUGAGGAGAUGUUUUUUAUCACGAUGAGAAAACCUAUUGCUUAUCAGAUAGUUUUCUGAAAUGUUUUUUUUAUAUAUCUAUUCCGUCUUUACAUCCUCACGAAGUUUUACGUGUCUUGAUCAGCUCUACGUAUAUAUUUAAUACAAUCCUCAAUGGAGUUGUACCAGUUGUCGUUUGCAUUUACAUGAUGUCACCUAAGAAUAAUAUUAAAUGACUUUAUUAGCAUAAAAGUAGUUACUACUUCUGCUGUUCCUACUGCUGCUGAAUAAGCCAGUCUUUGAUCUCUCUUUGGUGACACCACUCGAUUUUGAGGGGUGCAUAAGAAUGGAAGAAUUUUCUUGCAACAACAUUCUCUUCGGAUUCCAAAGUGGCAACAGCCCAAUUCCACUAUUAUUAUUACAAAUGAGUGAAUAUCCCACUGCUAUUAUUGGUUUUGGGUGGAAGCUGAAUUUUCUCUUCACAAAAUUGAGUUCGGUCUUCUCAUCUGAUGAAAAUAAAUUGAUCCUGUCACCUCACCAACACUCAACACUACUCAACUCAAGGACCUCUGGGGACUUUGCUUUAUUUUAUCGAGAAGAAUGAAGAAGGGUCAAAAUAAAAUGGCGUUAUUAGUAAAUAUAUGCUUUCAAAUAAUAUAUAGGAUCUGCUCUUUUAGCUCCGAACUAUGUAUACUGCCAUCUGUAUGAAGGUUCAAUUUGCCAAAAUAAAUGUUUCCCGUCGGAAUUUUAUACUCUGCAA